UCACAUCCUCUUCUACAUUUUCUUCUAAUUGAUUUGAAUAGAAAGGUCUAAAUUUUUCUUCAAUGCCUAUGUAAAAAAAAAAGUACUUUAAAUUUCUUAAGUAUUCUCUAAAAUAAAAUUAAAGUACUAGUAGUCUAUUGUCUUUGAAUUACUUACCUUAAUCUGUGGGUGAAGCAGUAAAAUAAAUGUUUAAAUGCCAAAUCACUGCCUUUCAUAAAGAGACUAACAAGACUAAUUAAUUACUACAUAGACAGAACAAAGGAUAGCGUAACACUGGAAUCCAAGGGCUCCUGCCUAAUAGCAUGUAGUUUCUCUGGCUGUAGCACAAAGCUCCACCUAAUAUGAGUUGAUUUCCCAGUGAAAAAGGAUGAGCAGACUCCUGGUUUCUGUCGCUCUGGUAUAUUAUAGGAUGGAAUACUCAGAGUAAGGAUUUGGUAUAAGGAGUUAGAGCUACUGGUCUUAAAAGAAAAAGGUAACUUCCACUUUUGGGAAGAUGGAAUAGACAAACUUUUCCUUAUUUCUCCCGCUAAGUACAACAAGAACCCCUAUAUGUUAUAUGUAAAAUAAACACAAGGAGACUCUGAAAGGAGGAGAGGCAAAGGCAGACCAGCUAGGGACUUUGGGGUCUGAGGAAAGACUCAGCAGUGAGCUUACUGGGUUUUCUUUUUGCCUCAUAAAUUGGACUUAGACCUGAAGAAGCUGGCAAUCCCACAAAAAAAGCCCAACAAAAGCCUGCUCCUUCUGGCCAGAGGACUAAGCAAGGCGCAGCCUAGCAAGACAGAGUGGUUAGUCAAUAACCACUCUUCAGCCAAAUGCCACAGAAAAAUGUGUGACUCCACCCCCACCCCCAUCAGCAAAGACUGACCGAGCAAAGUUAGAGACUUCUACCUCAGGAGACAGUAACAGGGAGCUCCAACACCCCAGCAGGGUGAUGUCAGAGAAGGCCAAAUAGGAAGCCAGGACCUUCCUUCCGGUCAGAUGGCAGUGAGCCCCUCCAGUCCUGUCAUGUCAGUGUACUACAGGGGGAGGCUGGACUUGUGUCCUCACCUUGCAGGAACAAGAUGCUUCUUUCCCAGAUCAGCAGAGGCCUGGGGGGAGUCAGGACUCUCACCUCCAUCACGGUGUCCAUGGAAACCUCGUGGACUCCCCCGGGACCCUCACCCCGACCAGUAGGAACAAGAAGCACCCCCCCCAUUUCAGAUGCAGCAGGGCAAGUGGGGAACCUGGACUUCCUUGCACCUGGCACUAACAAGGUGGCAGCCACCCCUCCUCUGUCAAAGCAUGUCAGAAAAAGGCAGGAUCCUGGCCAGUCCCCGGUGACGCAGGGACGUGAGAAGAGGUACAAGGAUGUGACAAACAUCCAAGUCCCUCUCCUUCCCCUUCUACUGUGGGCCCAAUCCAGGUGAGAAAUUGCAUGUCCAGAGGCGCCAGCUGCACAAGGGGAGGGGAAAGAAAAGAGAGAAGCUAAGGAACAAGAAGGCCCGUGGAGACAACCCAAGUAUCCACCAGCAGACGAGCGGACAGACGAAAUGUGGCAUCAGACACACCCCGGGGGAGCGCGCAGCAGCAGGAGGGGAGGAGGUGCUGACAGGCUACGACAUGGAUGGCCCUGAAGACACUGUGCCCGGUGAAAGCAGCCAGUCCCAAAGGGACAAACACUGUAUGACUCCGUUUACAUGAGGUUCCCAGAGCAGUCAAAGUCAGGCACAGAACGUAGACUGACGGUUGCCGGGGCUUGGGGGAGCGGAGCACGGGGUUAUUGUUCAGUGGGUCAUUUCAGCUGGGGGAGGUGAAGCCGUCUGGGGACAGACCGUGACGAUGGACAUACAGCACGGUGGGUGGGCUUAUGCUGCUGAGCGGGACGCUUAUAGGUGGUUGAAACAGUAAGUUACGUGCCGUGUAUAUUUUAACAAAAUUUUUAAAAAGCUAAUUAUCGGGGGAAAAACCAGAAACGAGGGCCUUAGACGCCUUCAUGCUUUGGGGAGGGAUGGCAUCUUUUCACUGAACAAAGUGUUUGAAAUCACAAGUAGAACUCACUUUUCUAAAAACUCAAAGCAACUUCCUGUCAGCAUGUUACUAGGAGCAUCAGCCCGUGGGGGACCGCUCUCACCAGCAAACGUUGGCCGGUCCUCUGGGUUCACGUCCCAGCAUUGCUUCAUGAUGCCGAUGACCUCCCUGGGGCAGUGCUCAAUGAUGUCCCCCACGCUCGGCCUGUUCCCGGAUUUAAUGCACACGAUCAGCUGCUGCUCACAGAUGGCAUCUGCAAAGCAAAAAGGGACUUGAGCUGAGACUUUCUUCCAGGCCCUGCUCCUGUCAGCCAGGAGGUGACAGAACUUGGACGGUGCCACUUCUCUUUUAGUGCAGCUGCCUCAUCUGGCAGGGCAGGACGGCCCCAGCACAGCGACCCGUGUGCCCCACUGCAGAGGCGACCAGACAGCACUUUUGUUGCUGCAGACAGAAGACAGGAUUCACAGCAAGGCUGCCGCCUGGUAGAACGAGCGGAGUAUGUGAGUAAGGUCAGUGACACACUCCAGAUUCCCACACCCACUCAUGUGGGGCAGCGCUUGCCAUGAAGGAGCUCAGGUUAGUAAGAGACUUAAAAUACAGAGUGAUAAUUGCUAUUCAAGAAGCAAGCGCAAGGGGUUCUGGUAACACACCUGGGACUGGAAGGGCAGAGCGGGCUUUGCUGCGUCCAGAAAUAAGCAGUUGCCCAGGUGAGGGAUGAGGAAGGGGGUUCAGGGAGGGAGGUUCCCGGCUAAGAAAGUGGGACAUGAGCAGCUCGGAAGUGGCAGAAACAUGAUGUGUCCCAGAAACGAUCAGAGUGACUGGGUGUGUUGACUGAGGGGAGUGAGGCGAGGAACCAGGCUAGAGAGAGAAACGAACCCGAGUCAGAAAGGGCCUUGUGUUCCCUACUGAGGAGCUGGGACUUCACCCUGAAAGGCAAAGGUGUCUUGGGAGGGUUUUAAAUAGAUGAGUGAGAAGACGGCUCCAUCUGCGUUUCAGGAUGAGCAGCCUGGCUGCGGUGUGAGCGGCGGCUGUGUGAGGAGCCUGCACAGAAAUACAGGGUGUGAACUCAUAGGGUCCUGCGGGGAGAGAGAGAAGUGAUGGAUUCCGGAUGCUUCCUGAGUCGCAUAUACCUGGAACUCACAGGUUCUGAGUCUGACUGGACAUGGGAGAUGAGGGUCAAGGCUGAAUCUGGGAGGGCUGCGGUUUCUGGCUGGACAAGUCGGUGGCUGGACGGUGAUGCCAUUUUCUGAACAUAAGAGCAAAGCUGAGUGGGCUGCGAGGGGUGUGCACUGAAGGUGAACUGGUUUGAGGAGAUGCUGCUUGGGGGCUUCUCUGGUACACGGACUGGACCUGACUCACGGACAGGUGGCCACCCAGGCCAGGGCUGGAGAGGAGAGAUCUGGAGGCGCCAGCAGAGAGCUGAUGGUCAAACCGCGGGGGCUGACAACCAGCCCAGGAGGGUGUGGAGGAAAAAGCCCGUUAGCUUAGGUUCUUCACAACCUGAGGAAAGGCUGUGGGCGCAUCUGUUCUCCUGCACAAGCCAUGUCUUUCUCUCUGUAUUCUCAGUUCCAAAUAAAGUGCCCACGGUAAGUACCGAAAA